GUAGAUCAGAUAAUCGCGGGUAGAGAGUUUCUCUAAACGAGGAAAGUCGGAGCUCCAUAGAGCAGGGUGCUAGGUAACGCCUAGUGGGAGUGAUCCUAAGGAAAGUGCAACAGAAAAUAACCGCCACUUAUGUGGUAAGGAUGAAAAGGCGAGGUAAGAGCUCACCGUUUCUUCAGUGAUGAAGAAAGCCGUGUAAACCCCAACCGGAGCAAGUCCAAGUUCGGAUAUAAAAAAGAUGUUGCUCGCAUCUUCCAGUGGUAGGACGCUUGAGCUUACUGGUGACAAUAAGCCUAGAAAGAUGAUUAUCUAAUACAGAACUCCGCUUAUAGAUUUACUUAU
rnacentral:RNase_P_RNA from 1 species